UACGUAGGGUGCGAGCGUUAAUCGGAAUUACUGGGCGUAAAGCGUGCGCAGGCGGUUUUGUAAGCCAGAUGUGAAAUCCCCGGGCUUAACCUGGGAAUGGCAUUUGGGACUGCAAGGCUUGAGUGCGGCAGAGGAGACUGGAAUUCCUGGUGUAGCAGUGAAAUGCGUAGAUAUCAGGAAGAACACCAAUGGCGAAGGCAGCUCUCUGGGACGGUACUGACGCUGAGACGCGAAAGCGUGGGGAGCGAACAGG
rnacentral:rRNA from 1 species